rnacentral:rRNA from 1 species
UACGUAGGGUGCAAGCGUUGUCCGGAAUUAUUGGGCGUAAAGAGCUCGUAGGCGGUCUGUCGCGUCUGCUGUGAAAACCCGCGGCUCAACCGCGGGCCUGCAGCCGAUACGGGCAGGCUAGAGUUCGGUAGGGGAGACUGGAAUUCCUGGUGUAGCGGUGAAAUGCGCAGAUAUCAGGAGGAACACCGGUGGCGAAGGCGGGUCUCUGGGCCGAUACUGACGCUGAGGAGCGAAAGCGUGGGGAGCGAACAGG